rnacentral:rRNA from 1 species
GACGAACGCUGGCGGCGUGCCUAAUACAUGCAAGUAGAACGCUGAAGGAGGAGCUUGCUUCUCCGGAUGAGUUGCGAACGGGUGAGUAACGCGUAGGUAACCUGCCUGGUAGCGGGGGAUAACUAUUGGAAACGAUAGCUAAUACCGCAUAAGAGUAGAUGUUGCAUGACAUUUGCUUAAAAGGUGCAAUUGCAUCACUACCAGAUGGACCUGCGUUGUAUUAGCUAGUUGGUGGGGUAACGGCUUACCAAGGCGACGAUACAUAGCCGACCUGAGAGGGUGAUCGGCCACACUGGGACUGAGACACGGCCCAGACUCCUACGGGAGGCAGCAGUAGGGAAUCUUCGGCAAUAGACGGAAGUCUGACCGAGCAACGCCGCGUGAGUGAAGAAGGUUUUCGGAUCGUAAAGCUCUGUUGUAAGAGAAGAACGAGUGUGAGAGUGGAAAGUUCACACUGUGACGGUAUCUUACCAGAAAGGGACGGCUAACUACGUG